rnacentral:rRNA from 1 species
GAUGAACGCUAGCUACAGGCUUAACACAUGCAAGUCGAGGGGCAGCAUUAGAUUAGCUUGCUAAUCUAGAUGGCGACCGGCGCACGGGUGAGUAACGCGUAUCCAACCUGCCCCCUACCCGGGGAUAGCCUUGCGAAAGUAAGAUUAAUACCCGGUGCAGUUAUGAUUCCGCAUGGUAAUAUAACGAAAGAUUCAUCGGUAGGGGAUGGGGAUGCGUCCGAUUAGCUUGUUGGCGGGGUAACGGCCCACCAAGGCGACGAUCAGUAGGGGUUCUGAGAGGAAGGUCCCCCACAUUGGUACUGAGACACGGACCAAACUCC